CACAUAUACAAAGAAGCAGAGGGGAAGGCAUUCUAAUGAACAUUAGGUCGUCUCCACACAUAUGUACACCCAAGGCAUAGAGGGUGUGCUAAGAUCACCACUUCAGGCCCUGAUAUCCACAUGUUCGGCAUGAAAUUUGAAAUAGGAGCUGUGAACUGGCUGAGAAACUCUGCUACUAGUGCACCUACUGGAGGUUUAUAGUACAGUAAGUAGCUGAUAGUGUUUUUAUGUGUCCUGUUUGCCCAAGUAGCGAAAAGUCUGUAAGAGUCCAGUUUUCUUUAUAAGAGUAAAGUAGCACUUGAGACUUUUAGGAUUACUAUGUUGGUUUACCAAUGUACAAGAAGUAUGUAGUGGAAACAAACAUACUUUUAUGCUGUAGAUAGCACUAUUGCUAAUUCUGACUAAACGACCC